CAGAUGGGAGCUUGCUCCCUGAUGUUAGCGGCGGACGGGUGAGUAACACGUGGGUAACCUGCCUGUAAGACUGGGAUAACUCCGGGAAACCGGGGCUAAUACCGGAUGCUUGUUUGAACCGCAUGGUUCAAACAUAAAAGGUGGCUUCGGCUACCACUUACAGAUGGACCCGCGGCGCAUUAGCUAGUUGGUGAGGUAAUGGCUCACCAAGGCAACGAUGCGUAGCCGACCUGAGAGGGUGAUCGGCCACACUGGGACUGAGACACGGCCCAGACUCCUACGGGAGGCAGCAGUAGGGAAUCUUCCGCAAUGGACGAAAGUCUGACGGAGCAACGCCGCGUGAGUGAUGAAGGUUUUCGGAUCGUAAAGCUCUGUUGUUAGGGAAGAACAAGUGCCGUUCAAAUAGGGCGGCACCUUGACGGUACCUAACCAGAAAGCCACGGCUAACUACGUGCCAGCAGCCGCGGUAAUACGUAGGUGGCAAGCGUUGUCCGGAAUUAUUGGGCGUAAAGGGCUCGCAGGCGGUUUCUUAAGUCUGAUGUGAAAGCCCCCGGCUCAACCGGGGAGGGUCAUUGGAAACUGGGGAACUUGAGUGCAGAAGAGGAGAGUGGAAUUCCACGUGUAGCGGUGAAAUGCGUAGAGAUGUGGAGGAACACCAGUGGC
rnacentral:rRNA from 1 species